rnacentral:rRNA from 1 species
GCAGGUUGAAGCGCGGGUAAGACCGCGUGGAGGACCGAACCCACCUGGGUUGAAAACCGGGGGGAUGACCUGGGGCUAGGGGUGAAAGGCCAAUCAAAUUCCGUGAUAGCUGGUUCUCUCCGAAAUGCAUUUAGGUGCAGCGUCGGUCGAUUGCGUCGCGGGGGUAGAGCUACCGGAUGCUUGCGGGCCCUUGUUGGGUACCAACAGCAGCCGAACUCCGAAUACCGUUGACGUGUAUUCCGGCAGUGAGUCGGCGGGGGAUAAGCUCCGUCGUCGAGAGGGAGACAGCCCAGACCGUCGUCUAAGGUCCCGAAGCGUGUGCUAAGUGGGAAAGGAUGUGGAGUCGCAUAGACAGCCAGGAGGUUGGCUCAGAAGCAGCCAUCCUUGAAAGAGUGCGUAACAGCUCACUGGUCUAGUGGUUCCGCGCCGACAAUGUAGCGGGGCUCAAGCACACCACCGAAGACGCGGCAGCAAUCUUCAUGGUUGCUGGGUAGGAGAGCGUCCUGCGAGGGGCGAAGCGGCCGGGUAACCGUGCCGUGGACUUCGUGGGAGUGAGAAUGCAGACAUGAGUAGCGAGAGACGGGUGAGGAUCCCGUCCGCUGGAUGACCAAGGGUUCCGGGGCCACGUUCGUCGUCCCCGGGUGAGUCGGGUCCUAAGGCGAGGCCGACAGGCGUAGUCGAAUGGAUGAACGGGUGGAUAUUCCCGUACCGACCAUGGACCGGCAAAACCGAGACGGUGAGUACUAACCUCCGCCUCGUGGUGGUUCCUUCCUUCGGGUUGGUAUCGCCGCGUGGUGUUGGGACUGUAGCCGCAGUAGGUCAGCGCAGGGGUGACACGGAAUGGGAGCCGGCCGCGGAGGUGGUUUUCCGUGGUCAAGCACGCAGCCAGUCAUGUAGGCAAAUCCGCAUGGCGCGCAUGGCGAGGUGUGAUGAUGGGAGCCGUUAUGGCUCGAUAUCCGGUUGUCCAGGCCGUCGAGAAAAGCCUCGGCGUGAGGGCCAUGGCCGCCCGUACCCCAAACCGACACUGGUGGUCAGGUAGAGAAUACCAAGGCGAUCGAGCGAAUCCUGGUCAAGGAACUCGGCAAAUCACUCCCGUGCCUUCGGUAUAAGGGAGACCCGCUGGGGUGAACCGGCUAGCCCGGGGAGCUUUGGUGGGUGGCACAGACCAGGGGGUAGCGACUGUUUACCAAAAACACAGGUGCAUGCGAAGGCGAAAGCCGCUGUAUAUGCACUGACGCCUGCCCGGUGCCGGAAGGUUAAGAGGAUCCGUCAAUCCCUUCGGGGACGAAGCGGUGAAUUCAAGCCCCGGUAAACGGCGGUGGUAACUAUAACCAUCCUAAGGUAGCGAAAUUCCUUGUCGGGUAAGUUCCGACCUGCACGAAUGGCGUAACGACUUCCCCACUGUCUCGACCAGGAGCUCGGCGAAAUUGCAGUACGAGUAAAGAUGCUCGUUAAGCGCAGAAGGACGAAAAGACCCCGGGACCUUUACUAUACCUUGGUAUUGGCGUUAGGCGCGGAUUGUGUAGCAUAGGCGGGAGGCUUCGAAGCGGGUGCGCCAGCAUUCGUGGAGCCGCAAGGUGAAAUACCGCUCUGUUCUCGUUUGACGUCUAACCUCGACAAGUCAUCCUUGUCAGGGACAGUGCCUGGCGGGUAGUUCAACUGGGGCGGUUGCCUCCCAAAGAGUAACGGAGGCGCUCAAAGGUCCGCUCAGCCCGGUUGGCAAUCGGGUGUCGAGUGUAAUCGCACAAGCGGGCUUGACUGCGAGGACGACGGUCCGAGCAGGGACGAAAGUCGGAGAUAGUGAUCCGGUGCCGGCGCACGGGCGCGGCAUCGCUCAACGGAUAAAAGGUACCCCGGGGAUAACAGGCUGAUCAUUCCCAAGAGUCCAUAUCGACGGGAUGGUUUGGCACCUCGAUGUCGGCUCGUCGCAUCCUGGGGCUGGAGCAGGUCCCAAGGGUUCGGCUGUUCGCCGAUUAAAGCGGCACGCGAGCUGGGUUCAGAACGUCGUGAGACAGUUUGGUCUCUAUCCUCUGCGCUCGUUGGAAUCCUGAGGAGGCCUGCCCAUAGUACGAGAGGACCUGGGUGGACGAACCUCUGGUAUGCCGGUUGUC